rnacentral:rRNA from 1 species
AAAUUGAAGAGUUUGAUCAUGGCUCAGAUUGAACGCUGGCGGCAGGCCUAACACAUGCAAGUCGAACGGUAACAGGAAGCAGCUUGCUGCUUCGCUGACGAGUGGCGGACGGGUGAGUAAUGUCUGGGAAGCUGCCUGAUGGAGGGGGAUAACUACUGGAAACGGUGGCUAAUACCGCAUAACGUCGCAAGACCAAAGAGGGGGACCUUCGGGCCUCUUGCCAUCAGAUGUGCCCAGAUGGGAUUAGCUAGUUGGUGAGGUAA